GGGUUGUGAGGUUAAGCGACUAAGCGUACACGGUGGAUGCCCUGGCAGUCAGAGGCGAUGAAGGACGUGCUAAUCUGCGAUAAGCGUCGGUAAGGUGAUAUGAACCGUUAUAACCGGCGAUUUCCGAAUGGGGAAACCCAGUGUGAUUCGUCACACUAUCAUUAACUGAAUCCAUAGGUUAAUGAGGCGAACCGGGGGAACUGAAACAUCUAAGUACCCCGAGGAAAAGAAAUCAACCGAGAUUCCCCCAGUAGCGGCGAGCGAACGGGGAGGAGCCCAGAGCCUGAAUCAGUGUGUGUGUUAGUGGAAGCGUCUGGAAAGGCGCGCGAUACAGGGUGACAGCCCCGUACACAAAAAUGCACAUACUGUGAGCU
rnacentral:rRNA from 1 species